CGGGAACAUGAGAGCAUACAAUGUGGAAGUGAUGGGUAGCUGCCAGCCAUGUCAGUUUCCUAAGGAAGUUCAUAAUUGUCAAGGAGGAAGAGCGACCUUUGUUGAUAAUGUGGCAUAUUGCCAGGUUAUCAGAGAAACAGCGUACGGACUGACCUUCCCAUAACCUACACCAAGUGACAGCUGCAGCAACUAUUGGGUAUACCUCAAAGAGGGCUGAGUUAGUGUAAAACCCCUCGAUGCCCUGUGUUUCUGUUGGCCAAGUCCCCCAGAGCCAAUCUGUGCCGAAAAUGGCCGCAUAUCCCGCGGAUGAUGCUGCGUCUGUCCAAAUGACAGG